rnacentral:tRNA from 1 species
GGGGAUGUAGCUCAGUGGUAGAGUGUUUACCUGCCAUGUAUGAGGCACUAGGUUCAACACCCAGCACCA